GAUCCUUCACUUCUCUCAAACUACGAAAACUAUGGCUUCAAAAUCCGUCGUCGUUUUGCUCUUCCUCGCUCUCAUAGCUUCAUCAGCCAUAGCUCAAGCUCCAGGACCAGCUCCAACAAGAUCUCCUCUUCCAUCUCCUGCUCAACCUCCAAGAACCGCCGCACCAACUCCUUCAAUCACACCAACUCCAACUCCAACACCAUCCGCUACUCCCACGGCGGCUCCAGUUUCUCCUCCGGCUGGUUCACCACUUCCCUCCUCCGCUUCACCACCCGCUCCUCCAACUUCUCUCACUCCUGAUGGUGCACCUGUCGCUGGUCCGACUGGAUCCACUCCCGUCGAUAACAACAACGCCG
rnacentral:lncRNA from 1 species